ensembl:snoRNA SNORD72 small nucleolar RNA, C/D box 72
AGCUUAUCAAUGAUGUCUCAAAAUAAAUGUCUGAACAAAUGAUACUUCUGUGAUUAUAAUUUUUACUGAGAUAAGCU